rnacentral:lncRNA from 1 species
CCAAAAGGGAAGGACUGUAUCAUAAGGUUGCAGACGCUUCUCACAGAAGCCGGGAGCAGGAAUACAGCUGCAGCAAAGGAGUAGACCCAGGAGUUGGAAAGCUUUCAGGAACUCAAAGGUACUCUCUAUAUCCUUCUGUGAUUUUUUUUCCCCCUCUGUGUCUCCUUAUCUGUGUAUCUUUCUCUAGUGACUGGUUCUCUCUGCUUUUCCAUCUACCCAGGAGAAUACAGUCGUCCCACUAUUCAGCUAGGAAGUCAGCCGAGCGUGGAGAUCAGAGCCAAAACAAGGAAGGUGGGUGCAGUCCUGCAAAGUCAGGCAGCCAAUUGUAUAUACAAGGGGACUCUGCAAAUGAAAAACUAUAUUGAGGACCACGGAAGCCACAUUCCUCACUGUUGGAGAAUGGGGUUACAAAUAUUGAAAGGAGAAAAGAAGAAGGCUUGAGUGGUCAGGUUGGAAUUGGAGAUACUGAUGUGAACCUAGGGCUUUCAGUAUACAUAAAAGUAUAUCUAUGUAUAUAUACUUCCUAGCUCUGUCCGCUGAUAGAACCCUGGAGCAGCUUGAAACACCAUCUUCUGCUAAAAGGAACCGGGAAUCCUUGAAGAAAUAACGCAUUUCACGGUUGGGACAGAGAAAGCGUAAGUGAGCCUGGACCUUCUUGUCGGGCCAGAAAACAUGAAAACGCUCGAAGAGUGAAGGAGACAUUUCAAAACAACAACGUAGUCCGUUUGAAGGGACUCCCGCUGGCCAAA